rnacentral:rRNA from 1 species
UCCUGGCUAGGACGAACGCUGGCGGCGUGCCUAAUACAUGCAAGUCGAACGGUCUUUCUAUGGAAGCUUGCUUCCACUGAGAAGAUAGUGGCGAACGGGUGAGGUAACACGUGGGUAACCUGCCCAUAAGAGGGGGAUAACAUCCGGAAACGGGUGCUAAUACCGCAUAGUUUUCUUGAUCGCAUGAUCGGGAAGGAAAGACGGCCUUUGUGCUGUCGCUUAUGGAUGGACCCGCGGCGUAUUAGUUAGUUGGUGAGGUAACGGCUCACCAAGACGAUGAUACGUAGCCGACCUGAGAGGGUGAUCGGCCACAUUGGGACUGAGACACGGCCCAAACUCCUACGGGAGGCAGCAGUAGGGAAUCUUCCGCAAUGGACGAAAGUCUGACGGAGCAACGCCGCGUGAGUGAAGAAAGGUUUUCGGAUCGUAAAACUCUGUUGUCAGAGAAGAACAAGUUGGAGAGUAACUGCUCCAGCCUUGACGGUAUCUGACCAGAAAGCCACGGCUAACUACGUGCCAGCCGCUGC